AUUUUUUCGGCACUAUCGGUCUGUCUCUCUCUCGUCAAUGAACCGUCAUGGCCUCAACCGUUUCUUAUCAUUGGCGGCCCCGCAGUGUAGUGUGUGUGCACGCCCGUGUGUGUGUGUGCGUGUGCGUGUGACAAAAUAUUUUGUGCGAGCGGAGAGAAAAAUAAAAACGACUGUAAUAAUAAUAAUAUUAUAAUAACGAAAAUAAUACGACCACCGCCGAAUUUACAGAGACACGUCGCACACCGCCACCGCAGUGGUCGUCUAUAGUUAUACAUAGACCGUACUAGGUACCUACCUUUUGGUUUUCGUAACUCAAACCUUUUUUUCAAUUUUUCACGCUUGAGAGAAAUUUGAGCCGCACGAAAUAUGUUGUCUUCGUCGUUUGCCCACUGGGCCACCAGCCCUCAUCGUUGACAUUAAACCCGUCGUCGCCGUCCGUGAGGGUUUUUUUUCCCUCGUCACCAGGAUCAGCCACCAUCAAUCCCGGAAUGACCGCAUAGCAGUUGAAGCAGCUUAUGUACACCUUCUGAGGAGUUAUGUUAAACAGCUUGAGAGACGGUCAAAUAAAUUAUGGAACUACAAAUUGCCCAUCUGCCCAUGUUCCACCUCAUAAUGUUGCCUCAAUACAUCAAAAUUCUCUUAUAUCGACCGAACCCUCUACACCAGUCUAUCAGUGGAAUGCAAACCACCGGCUUGAACAUUUGUACGGCUUUCAUUCCAGAUAUUAUAAUCUUGACUUUCCUACUCCAUACCCGCCAGCUACUAAUCAAUAUGUACCGGCAAAUGUGUACGGACAGAAUUUGCCGCAAUGCUGUCAACCGUGUUGUCGGCUCAGGUCUCAAAACAUACCAAAAGCAUCCCCACCACAAGUGUUAUAUAACCCAAGACCAGUGCAACAAAUAAAUCGAUCUUAUAAAUCAAAAAAGACUUUGAAAACUCCGUGCUCCGAACAGUUCCUAUCAUACAUUCCAAAUGAUUUACCAGUUAAAUACGAUACACAAAAUUGUUAUCAACCAAAAUAUAGUAGUUCAUAUUUAAACAAUGCAAAUUAUUGUCCUCCAGCUAAUAACUUGUGGAUUCCACCUGCAACCAAUCCUAAUUGGUCUAACGAAAGGUUACGACCUAUUGGCCGUCAUACCGGUCCGGUGUCUCACGAUUUUAAUAGGGAAAAAAAUUAUCAAAGAUUACCGAACUAUCAAAGUAACCCUUAUUCAAAACCUACAAGUGCUACACAUCAUAUACCUUAUAAUUACAUUCCACCUUUACCUGAUGUACAUGACUAUCGACCCCCAGUUUACCAUAAUCCGUCAAAAAACACUACGACUGAGUAUGUAUCCCAUGAUCACAGUUCUAGAUUACCUAUUUCAUCUCAAAACAUUCAAAAUCCGUCUUCAUUACAACAGUACUAUAACACCCAACCAGUGCCUUAUUCAGAUGUACAAAUACCUAGUGAAUCAUUUAAGACACCCCAAAUUACGCCAAAAAAUACCUCAAAGAGUAAUUUAAACGUACGCGAGUUUUUGGCUACUUGGGACGAAGGAGAAGAAGAAAUUGGUGAAAAAUCGUCUGAACCAGCAGAGCCCAUUGUGGUACUCGAUUGUAUGACACUUGAUGGAGAUGCAUUGACUAAAAUUCAAGAAAAACUAAAUGUAGUGUCCUACGAAAAUUUAGAAAAAGUACUUAAAGAAAAUCAAAAUCCGUUAGUUAUUACAGCUGAACCAAAUGAAAUUAAUAAACCCAAGUUACCUUCGAAAUCGAAUUUUGAACCCUUAGAUUACACUAAACGGGAAACUGGAAUCAUUAAACCAUUUAUCACUGAGAAGAAAACAUUGCCUGAAACAAAUACCCAGUCUGAAAAAAGUUAUAGCGUUAAUUUUGAUGGAAUGGUAGCUUGGUAUGGUAAAAAAAACACAGACAUUUCAUCUACAGAUCUCAUUGAAAGAUUAGCCGACCGGAUUUUUAACUUGAGUAAAUCGCAAGAAAACGAAGGCGUAUCGUUUGGAACUGCAGCUUAUACAGGGCAAAUAACUCAAACAAAUCGAUCCAUUGAGAGUUCAGACAAAAAUACUUCAAAAUAUAUUCAAAGUCCACAAAUGUUUGAUUUACAAAAUCACGUAGAUAAAUGUAUUGAACCUCCUAUUAUGAAUAAAAUCAAUUGUAAUAAGGAUUCUAUUCCUAAAGUUCAUUCUUUUGUCUUAAACGAAAGUAACAAAGCAUCAACUAUCAAAUCAAAUAACUUGAACUCUUCUUGCAUUGUAGAAAAUAUAACCAAAAAAUGUUUAAAUGUUACUAAUGAAGAAACAUUACCAUGGAACUUGGAUCAAGGUGUCCAUGAACAGCAUUUGAAUACGUCUUUGUACGACCACAGUGUUAUCAUGAAACCUCUCGAUUUUUCUUCUCUUACCGAUGAAACUAAAGGUAAUCCUUUCGUGUUCGAAAAGAUUACGACAAGUGACCAUAAACCAAAUGACAGCAUCAAUAAUCAGUGUAAUAAAGUAUUUAAUCAAAACAAUAGUUAUAAUUCUAUAGUUUCGAAUAACCAACAUUCAAUACAACAAAUAGACACGAGUAAUAGACAUUUUCCAGUUAUAGUAUCACCGCAUAGACAAGAAUAUAACGGAUUUCAUGAAAGUGUCAUACAGAGGACUGGUUGCGAUAAAAAUAAACACGAUAAAGUAUCAACACAAACUGAUUUUGAAAGCAUAAAUUGGAACUUAUCCAACGAUCUCGAUAAAAUUAUGAAAAACACCAACAUGGUUAUGGAACCGUCUUGUUUAUAUAACAGAAAUAAUUAUAACAUGUUAGAUGGUAUGAACGCAGAUAAAAAUGUUUCUAAUCGCUGGAAAGAUAAUGUACCAUGUGUGGACUUAACAGUAAACAGUAAAUCUAAUUCUCAUCAUGAUUCAAUUUUUGAUGGCUGGAGCUUUAUUGAUAGUUAUGAAAAUCAUUCUGAUAAAAAAAUAUUAAAUGCAUCUCCUAAUGAUAAUUCCCACCACCAGCUAUUUUCAAACCAGAUGACUUCUUUGGAAGAAUCAACAAAAAAUAAUAAUAAUUCCAACGAAAAUAAUGAUACUGAUCAUACAAUGGUUGUCAAAGAUAUACCUCCAUUUUCGAAGUCCAACGAUUUAUUACCUUCUAACCGACCAGCUCGAGAUGUUUUUAAUUUGAAUAAUCGAAUACCUGAUUUCAGUGAUGGGUUUGAAUUGCCAGUAAUAAAUGAACCUCAAGAGUAUUUGCAAUUUAGAAAGGAUGAUAAUGAACAUCGGGCUGAUGGUUCGAUUUUUGAACAUCUAAAUGAACCUAAGUGUAUUACAACUUUAAACGAAACAUUAAGUUAUAAGAAUGAUCAGAAUAAACUUGAUUUUGUUGGCCUUCCAAGUUUUAAAGAAAAAGAACCUUUAGCGCCUGUCUCAGCUCCCUCCAAACUAAAUAUUGUUAAACCUACUCUCCGAGACCCAAGUCAAAUAUAUACAGUCAUAAAACAAAAGCUAAAAUACGAUAAUACGUGUGUCGACAAUGAUAGUGUUGUAACAAAUAAAACUGAAAACAAUUUAAAAGAACAUCCUACAAAUACAUUCAACGUAACGGACUUAAAAUCUAAGUGCAAUAGUGUUCAAUUAAACCAAUUUGAUGUUUGGUCUGAAAAGUUUGUACUAAAAGGAAACUCAAAUAGUUCGUCUUGCGCAGUUGUUGAGUGUGAUGUAGAAAUUACUCAAUUUAAGAGUACUCCUGAAAAUCGCAAUACAUUACCGAAAUCAAAUAUGAGUGAAAAUUAUCAGGACAAAACCAUGAUGUUGGCAGAAAAUAUAAAUCGUAAUUUAAACGUUAAUAAAAUUAAUAUCAUCGAAAAUGAUAAAAUUAACUCGAAUGAUUUUUUAAAUUGUUUAGAAAGUACGAAAACAGAUGACCAGAAGUAUCAAGAUAAUUUUGAUGAAUUUGAAACGACGUUUGGGUUCGAUAUACAUUGUAGUAACGAAUCUAACAAAUCUCUCCAUGAAGAUAUUGUUGAUAAAUGUUUUGAAGAAAGGAUUAAUUAUCAAAUUGGAGGAGAUCACGAGAUAAAUAAAGUUGAGUCAACUAACACUUCCGACACUAAUACAACAUCAUCAAACAAUACUCAGUUGCCUUUCCAGUGUGAUUUUCAAUCAACAUUUUUGAUUAAAAAUUAUUUUGAUGAAAAUAAAAAUAAAACAGUUGUUUUAGAUCAAAAUGAAACCGGUAACCAUAAAAAAUCAGAUACAACAGUUUUUAAAUAUCAGAGCGAAAAUGUACAAGAAUUUGAAUUGCAAAAUAAUGAAAAUAUUCAUUCAGUUAUAAAUUCUGUAAAAAACUCAGACUUUAACAUGGAUUGCCAUGUUGCACAAAUUCAUAAUGACAAUAACAAUAAGAAUUCAAAUUUUUUGAAUGAAGUCGAAUCUUACAAGUUUCAACACGAAAACACAAAUAAUAUUCAUGAAAUAUCAAGUACAAAAAAAAAUAGUUUUGAUUAUUUAAAUAUAGAAGAUCGUAAUUUUGGGUUUGACGAUAAAAAAAGUAUUCUUGAAUCUGAAAUUUCUAAAGAAACAACCGUAAUUAAUAAAUCUAUUGAAGCUAACAGUAUUAGCCAAAUAAAACACAAUGAUUUGAAUCCUAACAAAUUGUUUCAUAUUCGAAAAAAUGCAAAUGUUGAUUUUGAACUAAAUAGUUUUGAAUUAAAUUCAAAACCUGUAAGUAAAGUAAGCACAAUUGAAACUAAUAAAAAACAUGAAUUAGGUAGAAACAACCAUAGUUUUGAUUCAAAAUUUAAUUCUGAUAAUGUGGGAAAAGUUGAACACAAUAUCAAUAGAAAAAAUAUUUUUGAAUUAGAUAAUAAUAACAGAGAUAUACAUAAUUUGGAAAAAAUGGAUGCAUUUGAUUUUAAUACAAGGAUUAUUCAAAAUUUAGAAAUAGAAUGUUCUUCUGAUAAUAUCGAAAAACCGACAAGCCCAAACGAAAUAUUUACGAAUGAAAUGCAAACGAAAACUAACUGCGGAUUUGAAAUGAACGAUGAUGAAAACAAAGCAAAACUAGAAACAGAUUACAAAAACACUCUAGGUAUUCAAGAAGAGUUACAAAUUGAAGAAACAUCAGACUUAAGUUGUAAUAAUGAUGCUCAACGUCAUAAUCUAAUUGAAACAGAAAAUAUUAAUCAAGAAAGUAAUGUGGACCGUAUUUUUGAAAUUGGUUGCAUUGUUAACAAUGUACAAGAUAAACUAAAUCUUGAAAACUCAAAGACACAAACUCAUUUUGAAAAUAAAAACUGUGAGAAAAAUCUAAAUAAUUUUAAUACUCACGGGAAUUCUAAUCAGAAUAACUCAGAAGUUGAGAAUAUUUUUGAAAAUAUAUAUGAUAAUUUAUCAACUUUAAACACCGUAGAAAAAAAUGAUACUAAUAUUUUGAACAAUUUCUGUCACAAUGAUAUUAAAUGUGAUGUUUCUAAAAGUCUAGAUAUUGCUGAAGAUCUAAAUUUAAAAAAUAGCAAUUCGGGCACUGUUGACGAGAUUACUGAUGAAUCAAAUAUGAACGUGUUUCGUGAUGCUUCUGACGAAAAUGUUGAAGAAACUGAUAAUGUUUUAUUGCAAGAACUUGUAAAUAAUUCGGCUGAUCGUUUGGCGACUGUUUCGAUUCAACACAACGAACCGAUGAACGAUGAGAAAAUCAAACCAGAUGAUUCGAAUAUUAAUGAAAACUCUGCUAUAGUUGUAGGAGAAAACACCGAAGACGUUAAAGAAGGUGAAAUAGAGUCAAAUAAUGAUAAAAGUAGUCAACCUAUUGAAACCUCGAAGAACAACGCUAUUCAAGGUGAUGCUACUCUAGCUACAUUUGAAAACUUAAGAUCUGAUAUAUUAAAUUCUGUAAAAAAUACAGAUGAAAAAGAACAUGACCAAAAUAAUAGUUCUGGAUCUAGUUCAUUAAAUUCCUUUGAAUUAAAACAGCAACAAAAAUCUAAUAAAAUGUACGAAGAUGAAGAUUCUAUCAAUUCUGGACCUUGUACAUUAAGUCAUGUUAGAAUGACUCACCAUCAAAAUUUGGAUGAACUAGUCGAGAUUAAAGGUUUAACUAGUUUUAGACCGAGUUUGUUAUUAAAUGACGACGAUUCAACAUCCAUACAUCGUUCGGAGGAAACGGUCCAUGCCGUAGAUUUAACUUGUUCUGAACUUAGUUCAUUAAAUCACGACGAACAACCAAAAGAAAUCUUAAUUGCUGAUAAUUCCAUUAAUCCUAAACUUGUUACAGUAAACCAUGACGAAUCAACAACCCAUCAGAAUCCAAAUGAAAUUUACGAGAUUGAAAAUUCAAUUAAUCCUGAACCUAAUUCAUUAAGCCACGCUGAAUUAAUAAGAGAACAAAACUCUAAUGCAGUUGAUGAAAUGGAAAAUUCAAUGAAUUUUGAAUCUAGUUUAUUAAACCAUGAUGAAUUAAAAUUCCAACAAUAUUCCGAUGAAACGGAGGAGAUUGAAAAAUCAAAUAGUUCAUUAAAACCUGACGAAUUUAAGUACCAUAUACAUUCAAAUGAAAUUAACGAGGUUGAAGAUUCAGAAAGUUCUGGACCUAGUUCAACAAAUCAAGAUGAAUUAGAAUUUCAACAGAAUUCCAAUGCAAUUUACGAGUCUGAGGACUUGAAUAGUUCUGGAUCUUGUUCAAUAAAUCAAGACGAAUUAGAAUUUCAACGAAAUGCAAAUGAAAUGUACGUGGCUGAAGAUUUGACUAGAUCUAGAUCUAGUUCAAUUAACCAAGGCAAAUUAAAGUACCAUAGAAAUUUAAAUGAAAUGAACGAGGUUGAAGAUUCAAUAAGUUCUGGACCUAGUUCAAUAAAUCAAGAUGAAUUAGAAUGUCAACAGAAUUCCAAUGUAAUUUAUGAAUCUUAUGAUUUGAAUAGUUCUGGAUCUUGUUCAAUAAAUCAAGAAGAAUUGGAACUUCAACAGAAUUCAAAUGCAAUUUACGAGUCUGAAAAUGGGACUAGUUCCGAAUCUUGUUCAAUAAAUCAAGAUAAAUUAAAAUUUCAACAAAAUGUAAAUAAAAUUGUCGAUGCUGAAGAUUUUACUAGAUCUAGACCUAGUUCAAUAAAUCAAGAUGAAUUUGAAUUUCAACAGAAUUCAAAUGAAAUUGACGAGAUUAAAGAUUUGACUAGUUCAGUAAAUCAAGGUGAAUUAUUAGAAUUUCAACCGAAUUCAAAAGAAAUUGACAAGGCUGAAGAUUUGACUACAUCUGGACCUAAUUCAUUAAAUCAAGACAAAUUAAAAUGUCAACAGAUUUCUAAUACAAUUUAUGAUUCUGAAAAUUUGACUAGGCCUGGCUCUAGUUUAAUAAAUCAAGAUGAAUUAGAAUUUCAACAAAAUUAUAAUGCUAUUUAUGAGGCCAACAAGUUGGCUAGUUCAAUAGGUCAAGACGAAUUAGAAUUUCAAACGAAUUCAAAUGAAAUUGAUAAGGCCGAAGAUUUGACUAUAUCUGGAUCUAGUUCAUUAAACCAGGAUGAAUUAGAAUUUCAACAAAAUUCAAAUGGAAUUUCUGAUUCUGAAGAUUUGACUACAUCUGUACCUUUUUCAAUAAAUCAAGAUAAAUUAGAAUUUAAACAUAAUUCAAAUGAAAUUAACGAGGCCGUAGAUUUGACUGUAUCAAGGCCUAAUUUAUUAAACCACGUAAAAUAUAAAAGUCAUCAAAAUUUGAAUAAAUUAGUUGAAGAAAAAGAUGUAACUGGUUUUGUUGGAAGUUUUUUGAAUCAUGAUGAAUUGAUAUGUCAAGAAAUGCCUAGUUUAAAAAAUUUGGCGAAAUCUAAACACAAUGUUCAUGAAACGAAUCACGAUUCUUGUACCAAGGAUACUGAUUCUAAAAGUGUUGCGGGGGAUAUACAAUUACCGAAAGUUAAAUUUAUGUUGAAAUGUCAAAGUAAAAAUAUGAUAAAAACAAAUAUAUUUGAUGAAGAAUCGACUGUGCCUUAUAAAAAACUGAAAGUUGUGAAAAAUGAAAAGAUUAUGACUCAGCAUAUCUUUAAAAAACGAAACGGUAUAAACUAUAAACAGUUAAAACCAUGGCAAAGUAUAUAUAGAAAAGAAUCGAAUGAUAGGAAUCUAAUAGAGUCGGUCAAAACGACGGCUGUCUCACAGACUACUGGUCAUCCAGCUAAUUUUGUACAAGAGGUUCAAAAUCUGGGAAAAUUAGAAAACGACAACAAUAAACUCGUCUUGUACGAAGAACGUGAUGUUGAAGUUUCAAAUAUCUCUGUCGGUGUCGAAUGUGACGCGAUAAAUGGUGGUGACUACAACGGACUCCUCGAUACGCCUAUCCCAUCACCGUUUUCCGAUUUUCAAUCGGAAGACAACACGCCCGAACAUUGUGGUGAAGUGUAUUGGGACAAGUCGCUGGAGGACGAGUACAAAAGCGUUCUGCACAAAACUAUAUCAAAACUAGCGAAAGUUCGCGUCAACGUCAGAGACAAGUUCAACAGCCGGUUACUUGCUCGAAGGGUGAAUGAAGCUAAACGGAGACGACGGCGACGGCUAUUGGUGGCCGACAAGGCAGCAGUAGUUAUCGUUGGCCGCAUUGAUGACUCUGCCAAGCCCGUCAUCGCGGCUGGCAAAGUGUCGACGAGCCCGAUGUACACUAUUAAGGUGCAGUUGCCCUGGAGACGGAUAUUCAACAUGAAUGCAGUCCGGAAUAAGACCAAGGAUACAAAAAUAGAGCUGGGCCCAGCUAAAGUGGAAGUGAGACUAAGUCGAACACCGGGUGAAUGGGAGGUUUCGGCUUCCCGGUCUAUGACUUCUCCCAAAUCGGUGGUAGUUGUCAGACGGUUAGUGCUGCAGAGGGCGACCAGUCCCGCCGCAAACGAUUACAACAUCGAUGACCAUCGCCACAACCAACGCCACGACGACGGCGGUCAUGAUACAAACGACAACCGUUCGCACGAACUCUCCAGGAAAUUACCAAAAAUUGUUAUCCGACGAAACGGUCUGGACAAUAACUAUACCAGUUAUGUAAGUAGUAGUGGGUUUGAGAGUGGUGGUGGCACCGACAAAAACGGCGGCGGUGACGAUGACGAAGACAACGGUGGUGGCGGCGUCCCUCAGCUGAUGGUCCGGUUGGUUAGAGACCGGAAGCUUGACGCAAUGGCCGUCAAAGGAGUCACUACUUUACACUUAAAACAUCUUGUUCCUAUACCCGAAUCUGAGGUGGAAUCACCAAUGGAGCUGGACAUGCGCUGUGCCAAAAGGGUUCGAUACUCGUAGAUUGCAGUCAACACCACCAUAAAGGUUACUACUAACUCCAGUCAUCGCCACCAUAUGCCAAGGAGAGUUAGAAAAAAAACAUACUCUUUAUGUAAGCUGGACAGUUUCGAAAUAUUAUGUUACCAAUAAUAAUUACAACCUUGAAACCUUUAUCAUGAUUUUUUUUCAGUUGUUGUUUUCAAUUUAUAUUUUAUAUUUUUACG